UUUCUCCUCCCCUUCCUUACCUAUCCGUUCGGACACCCUCCUCAUCUCUCUCUCCCUUCCCUGCGAGCUCACGCCCCCACGAGCACCUCUGUCACGAGAGAGAGGCGGAGCAGGGGGCGCGCUGGGGGAGGCGAUGAAUCUAGAGAGGUUGCCGCCGGCGUCACUGGCGGAGGCGGCCGGGGCCGGGGGCGUGGCGUGCUCCAUCUGCCUAGAUCCGGUGCUCGGCCGUCGCGGGGGUAGGUUCGUCGCCAAGCUGCAAUGGUGCCACGAGUUCCACCUAGAUUGCUGAACUAAACAAGUUUUUCCUGCUAGAUUGAGAAAGGUCGCUGGCUUUAUGCAAGCAGACAUCGCCCCUCUCCUGAUAUUGAUAUGGGUGGCUGGGUGACUAGUGACACCUAUGAUAUCACCUCUGAGCUUCCAUGGAAUUUCAGUGGAGACCCUUCAGUGGAUUCACACAGCUAGCAUCUGUGUUUGAGUAAGUACUUGUCUUUUGGAACAUGUUUUUAUUGAUUGAGAAUAAAUAAUGGGGAUGUGCUCUUCCUUACUUUCAAAAGAGAGUACCUAUUUUGUCUUACGGCAUGUCAAUAGAUAUGCUGGUGGUGGUAUAUUGAACUGAUAAUGGUACUGCCUCCGUGCUAAAUACUUUUAAUUAUCAGAAAUCAGCAAUUAAAAGCUGAAAACUGCCAGACGAAUGUAACACCCUAGGGGCCACAAGACCUAGAAUGCCACUUAACUACACGACUUACAGCUGAACUUAUAGAAAAUUCAGUAACAUCUCCUCUGUAUUUUAAGUAAUACGAAAACAAUAACAUAAAUAAAAAAGAUGUAAGACAUAACACACUAGUAUUUAAAUCACCUUAACAAGGACUAAGAGUAAUCUAUUAUGUUCAACAUCAUAACAACACUAUAAAUUUCGAACACACGAUUAAAGAUAAUCUAUUAUUACAGCUCAGUGAUAUUAAGUGAAGACAUGGAGUGCAAAACGUGCUUCUAAUCUCUUCCCUCCAUGCUAACUUCAAGAAGACAAUCUGGGGAGGGAAAAUGUAAGGGUGAGAUUGAUUAAUCUCAGCAAGAGGACUAUUUUAACAAGUUAUUUAAACCGCAUUAUUUAAAUAAUCAAUUUAAAACCUUAACAGGUAUAAAAGACAUUAUAUAAUUCAUCAUUGUUUAUUUUUAAGCAAGUUAAAUAGUUACUUCUAAAAGAAGAUCAAUAAAUACAUGUUCAUAGCAAAUAUAACUACAACAUAAGUAGGAUAAAAAACUAUCUAUCCUAUAUAACAUGGUAUCAACAUCAAUAAUUGACUUCAACUUCUAAGAGUUAAAUAUGACGUGUAAGAAUAUAUCAUCAUCUAAGACAUCAUGAAUAGAGUUCAAGUCAUAUUAAUAAUAAAUAACAGCUGUAAGAAUAAUUCACUCGUAAUCACAUACCUUCUACAAUUAGUAAGACUACUCAAACAUCUGUAUACCAUUCAUCACAACCAACUUGUGUACGGAAGAUUACGGCAACACAAUAUGAUGCAUAUGGAUACUAUACAAUGCAAAUCCACGUAGGACUUCAAUACCCUUCAUAAAUCCACAAGUCAUACCACAAUGAACAUAUCUACGGAGAAGUGUCGUUUCUCAUAAUGACAUCCAAUGCAACUUCAACAUAUCCAAUAAUCAAUUUCAUACAGCAAUACAUAUGAUGCAAUGACAUGUCUUCUUUUACAUCGCACCCCUCUUCGGGCAAUGUACGACGCGUACCGGUACGAUCGUGAUCUUAAGAUAGCAACAUAACUUUCAAUACAUAUACAAAUUCAAGUGCAUAUGUCAUGCUACAUUCAUAUUAAAAGUAUACCACCAAUAAUGCUUAAAAUACCAAAAAGUAUAAUACAUAUAACAUGAUCUUCAACAUGCACAUUCGGAACAGAGUUAUAAAUAACGCAUUCUUCGCAAGUAUCCAUCAAGACAUAAAUAAAGAUUUUAUGAUCAAACCCUGACAUACUAAAUAUGAACUUAACGAUAGACUUCCGCUAUGAAUAUCGUGUCCUAUGCAGAGCACCAAUAAAACAAUCAAUCCACCUAUGUUAACCUAUAGUUAACCUAUUUCAUUUGAAGCAUGUAUAUGAUAGCAAGAAUUUCAUGAUUAUAAUUGAGUUAGUUCAAAGCAUAGAUAACCUAUACAAGUAUACCUCAUAUGUUCAAUAUAUGAUCAGGCAUACACUAAAUUUCUAGAACUAUCAUCAAGUAUUUGCAUUUACCCAUUCAUCCAUAUUUAAGCAUAAAGCAAAAUACCAACAUCAGAGCCACGUUACUAUAAACGUAAUGGAAUAUUCUAACAGAAUUAGGGUAACAGGUUUAAUUCUCUAAAUUAUUAAAUAUAACUAGGUGUGCUGCAUUAUUAAGAGUGGAGGUAGUAAAAAUAACAAACUAAAGUUGUAGCAACGCAACAGCUACAUUCACUUGUGUUUACCAACAAUGAAGAUAAGACAUACACGUCUUGGUGCAACAUCAUCUGCUCAAGCACUCAUAUAUCAGCACCAAAACACAACAUACGACACACAAACAAGGAACGCGGUCUUACGCCCCGCAACCUAUCAAACAUACAAACCGAUAUCUUCACAUUCGUUUGACUGCAGUAGUGCUACUUCACUUUUUCGUAUUUAUUUCUACAACAGAUAUGAUAACAAAUAAAUACAUUUUUGGAAACUACAGAAUGAGGGUUAUAACUUUUGAAGAGAAAACAUAAUUUUAUUCUGCAACUAAGUUGGCCUAAAUUGCAACCAAAAAUAGGUUUCUGAAACUGUCUGAAAAUUCAGGUAGCAGGCUUCACUUUUUUAUAUCUACUAAAACAUACUUCCAAAAAUUCUGAAAUUUUAUGGGUGUGUAGAUAUUAAUACCCUCUACAACAUUCUAGUCCUAACAUUUUGCAGAAAAAGGCCUCUAAGAUAGCCUGAUUUAUGCCCAAACUUAACUGAACUUUCCGACGGCCAAAACAAGAUAGUCAACAUUGACUGAUCAUAACUGAAGUUAUACUUCACCAAAAAUUGCGUUAUUUACCAAUACAGAAAGCUUAAAAAAAACUCUACAACUUUUAUUCAUAUGGGUUUGGCAGAUUCUGCUUCUAAGGUGGUCAAAAACUAAAUAGAUAUAUUACUAUCCAGAACUUCAUCAGAAUCUGACAGCCAAUUGCACAAAUACAUAUCUCCUAAACUACUUUACCAAAAAUUAUGAAUUAGGACUUAGUGGAAAGGUUUUGAAGACCUCUACAAUUUUCUCAACUAAAGAAAAAAUUAAUUUGGCCUCUAACAGGAUGAAAAUCUAAGCCCUAGAUGAACUGCAUAAUCUAAUGAAAACUGCAGCGCCUAAAAUGAGAUCAAAUGACUAACCCCUCCGCUAAACCAUUGAAUCUAGCUAAUUGCAGGCAUGGAACACAUCAAAAUAGGGGGAAGACGACCAUAGGGCUUACCUAGGGCUUCCUUGAAGAACAACGAGGUUAUGAUGGGGAAACACCGAUGUAGCAUCUCUUCUUGAUCCCCUCUUCCUCCUAGAUCAGUUUUUUUUCCUUUACCCCUUGAUCCUUGCUGCAAUGGAGGAGGGCUAUGGAGGGGAGGCGUGCUGUGGGAAGGGAGGGAGGCGUGCUGGGGGAGGGGGUUGAACAGGGAGAAGGGGGUGGCGCUAGGGAGGGGGAGGAGUUCGGCCCCCUGCUAUGUUAAGCAUUUUUUUUCCUUUUUUUGAAUAAUCUUACACAUUCAAAUUUUGAUUACAUGCAUCUCCUUGAUCCGAGUUCUAAAACCCGCAAGUGAGUAGUCAAACAGAAUAGUUUUGAUGAGAUCUACGCAUAUGCGGUCCCGAUUAUCCAUAUGAACAACGGAUCAAAAAAUCAACUUUUUCGCUCCCUCUAUCUUCUCGGUCAACCUGUCUUCUUUUAUGUAUUCUUAAGUUGAAAAUGCCUUUUCUCCUUGUACUCUUUCCACAACUUGAAAACCAAAAAUGAUAGAACAACAACAACAAAAACAGUGUUUUAACUUCUCCGGUGUUAUAACGAAUUCGACUGGUCUUCCAAAGAAAUACUAUCCGAAAGACAACCUAGGAACUAUAGAUUAAUUUCUUUGAUGCUGUCAUUAAUGGUACAUGAUGAUGUUUAAUGCAUUAAGCUAGCCGUAUUACAAGUCCCUUUGUAGAUUUGGAGUUUCCAGGUCGACACCUCGCAAUGGAAGAAAUUUGGUGGCACCAUUAGGGUAAUUUCUAGCUGUCGUGGCAGAGACUAGAGGCCAUGGUCAUGGUGCAAGAGGUCAUAUGCACCAACAGUCGAUGCACUCCUAUAUGCAGAGCAGCCCAUUCCCUCCUACCACUAGAAGGGUUAGGCCGAGGGCCUUGACAAUUACAUCUUUCAUUGCAACAUCAUCCUCUGCUGAGAUUGGAGGCUCCCAUGGAUUUUGGCCCCUGGAGCUGUCAACAGGAGCGUUCCUGAUGCUAGGGGCAGGAGGGCUUUGCCCUGUUCUUGGAUCCCUGCUGAGGGUGACUUAUCCAGAACUAUGCACAUGGAAGUUUCACUCGAAGGCCUGCUGGCGAGCGGAUGCCCCAGAGAAUGGCUACCAGCCUGUGCCUCCCCAGAGGAUGCCGCCGUUCUUGUGAUCUAUGAAGGCUUCUCCUAUUGCUGUGUAAUAUCUCUAAAUUAGUUGAAAUUAUUUGAUUCUAGACUUGAGAAACAAAGGAGGGAAGAAGACGCUGCAGUGUCAAGGUUUGGUGUUUAAGGAACUCGGAUGAUGUUUAUGCCGCUGGUAUUUUAGGGCUUUUGGUCCAGCAGCCCUUAAGAUUCAUUGAGGGCUGUAGUUUAUUUUACUUAUGGUCUAUUUGUUAGAGCUCUCUGAUUCAAAUUCUCCGCGGAGAGUGAUUUUAGAGGGAAGUGAUUCUAUGGCUGAAAUUGAUUUUCUAGUAAUUUUUUGGAAUAAACUAUUUGAAGGAAGUGAUUUUGUACGGGAAGUAAAUUAAGGGAAGCUGUUUUUUUCAGCUUCUCAGUUUCUAGUUUAUUUCAGAUAAUCACUUUCACGGAUUACACUCAAGAGCUAAAAACUGAAAGCUGCUGUUUGACAGAGCUUCUCCUGAUUUUAGCCGAAAAGCUGCUCUGGGAGCUCUGCCAAACAGGUCCUUGGUAUGCUGUAUUGAGUAGAACUAUUUAGAAACAUGAACUAAACUGCAUCUCUGGUAGCCAGGACUCAACAACAUCGAGUGCAGCUAUGAACAAGGCAGUGAUACUCAUUUGUGCAGAUGAUUAUCCCAAACCGUGUAUUUCUGAAUGAUGCAUCAACACAUCAUCUUGAUGAUGUCUUACAUACCCUAC